AACACAACGGCACCAUCUCCGCCGUCGCGACCACCAUCAUCACCCCAUCACCACCGCCGUCGCGACCACCUACUGCUACUAAAAUUUAGGCACUCCAUGGACUAAGGAGGAACAUACUAACUACAUAGCUUGGUAAAGGACACAAAUCUGUGCAAUUUAAAAACUGCAAUCGGUGCAGUUUUUUCAAACUACAAUCUGUGCAAUAUGUGCAAUCUGUGCAGCAAACAUUUUUAAACAGUAAAAAUAAAAAAAUAAAAGGACCCAUGUACCCGGACCGAACCGGCCCGUUUCAACCGGGCCGGGUAAGGUCCGGUUCCUAUUUUCAGAAUUGUAAUGCCCGGCCCAGCCCGCCCCGUCUCCUUUAAUUUAGGGUCCGAUCCUGUCCCUUCAAAAAUGGGUUCGUGCCCAGCCCUAGUACUAGUACCAAGAAAGUAAGAGAAAGGUGGCUGCGGCCAACGAGGACCCGUUGCCGACAUUUAAACAGGGUUGUUGGCGAUUGUGGUCAUCCACGUUAUGACUCGUUUGACGACGUUAUGGAAGCAUGUGAAAGCCGACCAUAUA